rnacentral:tRNA from 1 species
UGGACCUCUUCCCUGA